rnacentral:lncRNA from 1 species
AAAACAAUGUAAUUUUAAUGUUUUAAAAUAUAACUUUCAACGAAAUUUAAUCAAACGUUUAAGAUAAAUACAAAUAAAGUUUUUGACAAAACCUAGAUAUUGAUGAGAAAUUAAAUUAGUUAAAAACUCUUCACAUGUAGGGUCAUCACUUCCCCUUUUUCUUUUUUCUAUAAAAACCUUAAUGAUUGAUCUAACAAAUGACUAUUGUUUUCUCUGGUAAUUAUAAUGAUGAAACGAAUGUGAUUUUAUUAAA